AAGAGAAGAGAUGGCUAGAGUCCACUGGCCAUCUAGUCCAGCUAAACCAGCAAGCUCUGGGUUCAACAAGACACCCUGUGCCAAACAGAUACAGCAGAGAGCAACAGAGGGAGACAUCCGACAUAGACCUCUUGCCUUCACGUGAGCACUCACAGGUACCUGCUCGCUGUCCAAAUUAUCAAGGACAGACAAAACUGGUGAGUGAAGCGCAAAGCCCCAUGGGAAUUCAAGAAAGGCCUCUGCAGCAGGCCGACGCCCCCAUGCCCUAGCAUGGUGCAGGCUACACCCAAGGACCAGGCUGACCACAGAAGCUGCCAGAGGAUGGGGUUCCAGGGAUGAAGCUCAUGUCAUCACACUUAGCCACAAGCGCCUGUACCCCCUGAGUCAUCUUGAUCGCCCUGCAAUCAAACGUGUAUCUUCAUCCUUGCACGGCAAGUGUCUUUGCCCACUGAGCAUCUCUGCAGUCACAGGCCCAUUUUUUUUUUCAUGGUGACCGAGCAUACAGGCUAUGCCUCCAGUUUCCCACUGUGUCUGGGGCCCAGACUCCCCUCAGUAGACAGGCUCCCUCUCAAGUGCCCAUAAAGACUCCCAGGAGAAGAAGAUGGCACAGCUCAAAUAAGACCAAGACCAAAACCAGACCCAAACCCCGCCCCAAAGCAGACAGGUGGAGCUCUGCACCCACUGACAAGCUUCUGUCCUUCCUGAGGACAAGAGUUGUUGAAAGGGCAGUCACAGAGCCUGCUCACAGCCGGCAGACGGUCACCCUGGGAGCAUGUGUGUUGCAUUAUUACAUCACUGUGCCUAAUACCAUUAAGCUGGGGACUGGAACUGAAAUACGACGGCGAUUUUCGUCUCUGUUUUUGCAACGGACCCAAACAUUUUGGUAUGUGUUAAAUCAAGCUCCAAGAAUCCAGCCCAGCUAAAGCCUCCACCCAGGGAAGCCAAGACCAGCUUGGACUGGAAACCCACAACAUACCAGUUCUUGGAUCACACCCAAAAUUGGCGAGUUAUCAGAGACAAGAAGUUUGUAGAGUGUACACGCUCUGCAGCCCUCAUUUCUCAGGAAUGACGUCCAGGGCCAAAUAAAACCUUCUUUUUUUUUCUCUCUCUGAAGCAGCCUAACUGGUAUGCAGAAGGGAGAUUCUCCCCCUGGGGCCAUCUUGACUUUUGAAAUUGGGAAGGAAUAAGAACUAAUAAGACCCUCAUGACCACCUGAUGUCAACCACUCCUCGCUUCUCACUUGCUUACUCCGCGUUCCCGGGUACCAACCUUGUAGCGUGAUCAGAAGACAGUUACCACCGGCAGAACUUAGGCAGGCCCAGCCCUGUGCCUGGUCUUUAGGGUCGAAUCACAGUCACUCAUGCUCUUGGUUAGGUUUUGGAUCUCUGAGAUAAGGCACAUCUGGGAAAGAGCUUGAACUCUGUGUCAAGUCACCUGGCUCCUGCCUCCAGCCCUCACAAUGGUCAGGUUGUCUGAUGUCUCCGUGUCACCAUUUCCACCUCCAUGAAUGGGCAUGGAUGAGUCCCAUCUUCGAAGAACUGGGAAGAUGGGGUGAGAAUGUGCCCAUUAAGGACCUGAAAUACAGACAUGCCCUCAGAGCCGCCCCCUCCCUUCCCAGAGCUCCAUGAAGGACUGAACCUGGAGCAGCCGAUCCCAUUAUGUAUUCCCUAGGAGCUGUGGGCAUGGGGAUGGACAGGAGCCUAGACAGCUGCCUUGGUUCAUUUUUUUAGAUGCUAUAACAAAACAACGAAGACCAGGGACUUUAUUUACGAGGGAGACUGAGAGUUCAAGAUUGAACAACUCCAUCUUCUGUCAACAUCUCAACAUGGUGAACAGGUGAGGAAAGAGAGGUCACAUGAUGAGGCAGGGAGUAAGAGAGCAUGUGGAAUGUCACUGUUUUACUGAAACCCCAUGUCUCAGAAGCUAAUUUUGUGAGACCCAACCCACUUCUGGAAACCAGCAUUAGCCACCCCCAACGGUGGUGAGACUCACACGAGAUUAUCUGACCUACACAGCUGUAAGUAACCUGGAGUUGUUUUAAACCUUGGGAAAGAAAGCUGAGGGGGGAGGAAAGAGAGAAGGGAAGAGAGGUGUGAGAGAGGGAAGUCAAGGGAGGGGAAGGAGAAGAGACACAAAGGAACAAAGAGUGAAGGAGAAGGUAGCUCUGAUAUUAUUAGUUGGAAUCUCUAUAUUUGCCAGUUGAAUCUUAUAGGCUGAAGGUAUCAAGUUCUCACAGGUUUUCUGUGUAGUUGUCAUAUCAAUUGUUGAACAAGGGGUAUUGAAAUAUUUGCUUAUGGUAGUAUAUUUCUCUAUUUAUUCAGUGCUAGCAGGUUCUGCUUCACCUGAUUGGAUGUUCUGUUUACUUGGUGGCUCUAUACUUAAGGCUGCUGUAUGUUCUCGGUUGAUUGCCUUGUCAGUAUGUAAUGCCCCUCUCUGUCUCUGGUAAUUAUCUUUGAUGUGAAGUCUACUGAGUCUAACAUAAGCAUAGCACUGCCUUCACUCCUGUUUUUGACAGUUCUGGGAAUUGAACUGAGGGCUUUGUGCAUGAUAGGCAAACACUGUCGCAAAGCUACCUCCCCAGACCACUUCUUUCAUUGAUUGACAUUUCUACGAUGUCUCUCCUCAUCUUUUCCUUUUCAAUGUACUUUUGUAACGUUCAUCAGGGGAAGGUAAUUCUGUUGUGUUUGCCAAUCUCUGUUUUUAAUUGAUGUUUUUAGGUCUUUUACAUUUAGUGUACCAAAUUGAUAUUUAGGACUUCAUUAUGCCAUUUAAAUUUUUUGUCUUCUGCCUCUCAUUUAUGUAUUUUUUCCUUUAGCUAUGUGAGUUACUAAUAUAUUUUAAAAGAUCACUUUUAGAUAAUUCCACUCUAGUUUAUCUAUAGUGUUUCAGAGUGUAUCUUUUCACAUAGCAAUUUUAGUGAUUUCUCUAGAUAUGAAAUUUUAUAGGCAUAAAAUCUUAUGUCAUCAUUUUAUCCAUUUGAGUGAACACAAAGAUUCACCUUAUUUUAUGUCCUGCUUAUAAUUUCCUUAUGUUUCCUUUAUAAACAUUGUUUGAAAUCACAUCACACAGCAUUAUAAUUUUGCUUCUAUUGUCAAGCAUAAUUUAGAAAACACAAAGAAAGAGCAUUAUAGUUGCCCAUAUUUUACUAUGUUAUUCCGUCCUUCUCAACUGUUC